CAGAAUUUAACCAAACAACAUUAUGAUGACAACAAUAAAGAUAAUGGAAGUUGAUAAUAAUGACAAUUAAAGCAUAUAAAGAAGAUACAAAUUUAAUAUGGUUCGAUUAUAGUGACCUACAUCCAAAAGCGGAGAAGAGCUAUUUCAUUAUACCAACAAGAGUACAAAACAGAGUAAAUACUCUAAUUAAUCCCAAAUACCCCAAGAGAAUAACCUCACAAGAUCACUCUAAAGAAAGAUUUCACACAAGUGCUUCCCAACACUUAAUUCUCAUACAAAAUACUCCUAAUAAAAUGAAGAAAGGAAGAAACAUGAAAUAAAGACUCAAGUAUUGUUG
rnacentral:lncRNA from 1 species